CAUGAAAACAUGGCCACGGGGGCUGGCCAAUUGGAGGAAGAGCAGCCCAGUGGAACGUGGCAAGUUAUAACUCGGGGUUAUGAUAGGGAAGUAGACGUCAGCAGCGGCAGCAAAAGCCUUUUCAGUGUCAGCCAGCAAGUCAGCAUUCUAGAGUGAGAAACAGUUCCACAGGGCCCCGAGGGGAGUGGUAGGAGAGACCCCCGUACCCCCCAAAGUAGGUGGGAACUGAAGAUAGCUUUUAUAUCAUAAGGAAUUAUAACCUUGGAGCUUAGAGAUGGCUCAGAGGUUAAGGGCAUUGCGGCUCUUCCAGAGGAGCUGGGGUUGGUACCCAGCACCCACAUGGUGGCGCACAACCAUCUGUAACUCUAGUUCCAGGGGAUCCAACACACCCUGUUCUGGCUUCGAUGGUCACCAGGCAUUCGUGUGAGACACAUCCAUACUGCAGGAGACAGAGGGACAUAAAACAAAUGCAAAUAACCUUUCAAAAAUAGUAACUGGGGCCGGGGGGGGGGUGGAUUGGCUGGGCAUGUGGGAUAUGUGGCCCAUGGAACCGAGUGAGGCCCGCCCGCUGCUUGUUUUUGCUCUUUUUGGUAUCGGGAAUAGGAAUGAGGUCCCGGCCCUUGAAGAUCAGGAGCAAACCGUGGUAUGGAGGAACGUUCGGCUGUCAUCCUGUAAAAUUAGAGACACAGUGUCACAUUCCAUAUCUGAUUAGCUACCAUCACUGGUGUUAGUGUCCCUGGGCUGGAUCUCAACGCGAGCUGCUCCGCUUGUGACUGUCAAUCACUUGAGCAAAUAGGAUGACACUUGCUCUCUCCCCUCAACAACUUGAAUGUGGUGUCUGCUCAAAUCAUCUGCCUCCUCCAGCCCCGAGUCUGCUGUGACAUCUGAGAGCCGCCGGAUCCCGACUCCCCGGCUCACCUGAUUAACUUCCCUGAGCCAAGUUGCUAGCCAAAGGGGAGAAAACGGAGCAUCUGUGUCUGCCAAUCAGGAACUGGAGAGACUGCUCCGUGGUAAAGAGCCCGGGAUGCUCUGGCAGAGGACCCACACGGUAUCACAUAACCCUCUGUAACUCCAGCCUCAGAGGAUCUGACGCCCUCUUCUGGCCUCCUCGGGCACUGCACGCACGUGGUGCCCAGAUACGAGCAGGCCAAACACCCAUACUUGUAAAUUAAGAAUAAAUGAGUAAGAUAUUUAAGACCAUCACCGAGGCUCUUCUGCUCAGGACCGACUACCUUCGUCCUCUGAGGUGUACUUCAUGUUUUAGAAGGACAUGGGAGGAAGGAAUGGAAGUUUAUCUGUAAGCUGUUUCCUCUUUUAAACGUGCCGUUCCCCAUUGACAAGGACGACCGGUUCCACUUCCUUAUCUAAUCUGUCACAGGCUGGCCUGUGACUAGCCCUGGCCAAUAGGACAGAAAUGACGUCAGCAUGCUUCCAAGUCACAAGCGGCCCCCGUUAGUCUACCUUGAGUGUACCAGGCUGUCAGCAUCCCGCCUGCUGUUUUAAAUUGGCCCAUUUUGUCCCGGUCUAGCCGUAAGGAGGGGCCUCUUGAAGACAGAUGGGCAGGACGCCUCUGUGUGCUCAAGUUCAGUCACAGGGCAUGUGCUAGUCCCGCAGAUGACUCAUGGGUCCAGUUGCGUUCAGUCUGGAAUUGAAGGUGCUUCAAGUCAGAGCCACCGACCGGAGCCUGUCACCUCCCAGCAACAUGGUUGAUUGCCUCACUAAGCUUUGAGGGUAGCUUUUUAUAAGGUAGUAAGUUACAAGAGCAACUUAACUUAUGAGACAGACGUGAUAAGAUGUAGUUUGAAUUUUAAUUAAGGUCCUCCGACUAGCUAGAGGAGAAGCUAUUGUUUAUGGUUUAGAACAGCGUCGGCUAAAGGGCAUCGAACUCACUGAUUUUAUGCUCGGAAUGGAUGUGUAUUUGAGAUACGUGUAUAUAUUUUAUGUCUAGGUAUAAAUGUCCUAGAAUGUAGUUCAGUGGUGGAAUACUGGCCUGGGAUGCUUUUAAUCAUUCCAGAAAAGAAAAGAAAAGAAAAAAAAGAAAAGGAAGAAAGAUAGAAAGAAAGAAAUCCUAGAACUGGACAUACUAACACUUGGCCUAGCGAGUACGGUCACCGUCCUGAUGCCUGGGGCUUAGUGAAAUCACUGUCCAUGGUCACACCGUUAGUGAGUGCGGGCACAGGAUUUGAGUCCAUCUGACAUAUAUGGUUGCUGGGCAUUUGACAGGCAGCCCCGGGAGUGAUUUUCUGACAUUCUUUGGCCAAGGGUUUUCCUUCUCUCUUCCCAGCUCCUUGCUACAAUUCUCUCUUCUGUAGCCCAUUAGUCUCCUCCUUCCCACUGUCUCUUAGGGCAGCCUACCUGCACAGACUUCCGUUUCUGGCUCAGUGGAACCAUGAAUAGAAACCAUUGUAAAGCUCUCCUGGGUUUAUAACCCUCAUUUCACACUCCAACUAUGCCUACCCACAUCCAGUGACUGUUUGGAAGCAGCGUGGUAAUAUAUUAUAUUCAUAAUAAAUAUAAUAAUUGCUGGCCAUCUUCCUUAAUAUUUAAAAGCUAAAACUAGAAACUCCUAAACAGAUAGGACGUAUUUUGACCUGUCCCUAAGCCAUAUGACGCGAAUUAAUCCGCAGAACCCCGCGGUAGAGAGAACUUCCGCUAGCUGUCCGAUUGACUCCUGACCUUCACAGCUGUCCGAUCGACCCCUGACCUUCGCAGCUGUCCAAUUGACCUCUGACCUUUGCAUAUGUGCCUCUUCCUCCUUCAUUACAAACUAACUAAAUAAAUAAAUGUAAAACACCGAAACAAAUCAGGACGAGCCCCACAAACCUGUGUUUUGAAGAUUAGUUUCAUAAAGGUUUUAUCUAUUCAGGCAAAACCUUACACAUUUUUGGCAGGUUAAAAACAAUGAGUCAUGUAUAAAAAAAGUUCCAUAAAGCUGUAGAAGAAAUGCUAAGGAAUCAUGAGAACGGAGAACGCUUGGAUUUCAAGAACAAGGCUGUAUUUGGUUAUGGUGUACAGAGAACAUGUCGAUAAACGAAAGUGAGCAUGCGCAAAUCCACCCAGCCCUGCACCGGGCUUAGGAGCCUCUGCUCAGAGCGCUUCUCAGCCUCCAUACCUAGAGCCUAUCCCUUCCCUUCCUUCUCAGCCUCCAACCCUCCUGUUCCUUCAAUGAAGGCAAUCUCUUUGGACUUAGCUUUAAGGUCCGUCCCCAGACCAUCAGAACACUUUUUCCAUAAACUGUUAAAAGGUUUUAGAAAUUACCAUCUGGUGGGGGAGGGGGCAUGGACUUAGCUCGGUGCUUGAUGUUUCAGCAGCACCAUGUGCAGGGCCUGUACUCAAUCCUUGCAUUGGGAGGAGGGGACAGGCUAACCCCUGGGGGCUGUUUGCCAUAGCCCAGCCUACUUGGUGAUUCCAGGCUAGUGAGAGACUCUGCCUCAAACAACGAAGAUGGAUGGUGCCUGAAGAAGGAUAUCUGGCCUCCACAUGCACACACAUGUGCAGCCGUGCACACAUGAACCCCCCCCCCCUCUCUCUCUGUUUACCAGUAGCUUAAUAACUUGACCAUUGAGUUAAGGGUGUGUAUGAAAGAUGAAAAGUUAAAAUUCGCAUUAACCAGAAUUUCCUACAAACGCAGUUUAUACAUAGAAGAAUCAAUGGAGUGGCUUUUCAGCAAGAACCACUGGGCUCUCCAAAUGUUAACGUGGGCUCAUGCUGCAUCUGCAAUCCUGGCUCUGGGUUUGCAGUCAAUGUGGAUGAGAGAGACGGGGCUGUCAUUCCAGCAACAUAGUUAGUUUAUGGUGGGAGGGGGAUGUUGCUUGCAGGGAAAGUUGCUUCUCAGAUUCUCUACUUGGGAAGUAGUCAGGGAGGCCUCUAUGUUUGGAUGCAAAGGCUGUGAGUGUUCAAGUCCUUAGCUGGGAAAUCCCCUGAGUUAGACCAGAUGAAUCUCAGGACCCUGUCCGAGCUGGUGUGUGUGUGUGUGUGUGUGUGUGUGUGUGUGUGUGUGUGUGUGUGUGAUUAACCAUUUUUCUUGUCUGUUCUCCCAGAAGCCUUCUGACUGCCAAGUGUUAGCUUGGUUUAGACAAACUGACUCCAUUCUAUUAGGGAAAGCAUCUGUAAAUGCAGUCUAGAGUGGGAAUUUAUCAAGGUGUUUUCUACAGGUCCACUUAUGGGACUCAUGUAGAACAUACACUUGAGAUGCUGUCUUGGGCGGUCUCCCCUGUCUGGGAGAGUGUGUUCGCGGUGGCUCCGGGUUAGAUGCAGGACAAACCGCAUCUUCCUCUUCCUUCCGCUUUUCUUCCUCUUCUCCCCAAGGCUGUCUCAUUGAGAAAGAGCCCAUAAAAUGGACCCACAAAAUAUGAAAUCCCGUUUUUUCACUGUAUUCAGAGCGGUGCGACCAUCAGUAGUUGUUAGGACACAUUUUUUUCCCCAUUCCAGAGGCCUCACGCUGCUCCAGAGCCAGCUCCUGUCUUACCAGCUGCCAACCCAGAACACGGAAGCGUUUUCUGUCUCUGUAAAUUAUUCUCUCAGAGGCGUUUCUAUAAAAAUAGAAUAGUGCAACAUAUCCUGCAACUGACUUUAAAAAUUAGGAAUAAUGUUCUCAAGGUUCACCCGUGUAACUGCUAGUAUUUUGUGCUUUUUUUAAAUUGUCAAAUAGUAUUCUACGAUGCGGACACGCCACAUUCAAGUUAGAGUUACUGGGAGUGUGUAUGUUUACACUUUUUGGCUUCAGCUAUAUACAGUGCUGUGUGAGUCUUUGUGUAGACGUGGUUGCAAUUCUCUUGGGUAGAUAGCAGAGGAGGAAGCGCCAAGUCAUGCUAACUUGAUAUUGUCUCUUGAGAGACCGCCAGAGUGCUCCGGAAGUGACCUCAUCAUUUUCCAAGCCUUCCCAGAGUGCGCAGGCUCCCGCUCCUUCGUGUCCCUCAGUGCGCAGGCUCCGACUCCUUCGUAUUCUGCAGUGCUAUGGCUCCUACGCGUUCCUGUGGUGCUAAAGAGGAUAGAGCACCUCGGCCUGCCAGUUAGUUUUCCUAAUGGCCACUGAUGCAGUGUAUUUUUCUCCGGUGACUCUCGGCUAUUUGUGUAUCUUCUCUGGAGAAAUAUCCAUUUCAAGUCUUGGCUCAGUUUUACCUUCAGUUGUCUUUUUUCACUUCGGAGAAAUAAGAGUUCACUGCAUAUCCUACAUACGGACUUCUUUCCAGAUGAACUUUGGAGUUUUCCCUACAUUCUCUGGUCCUUUUCACUUUCUUGCUGAUGUCUUUUUUUGAAACAGAGAAAUUGAAUUGCUAGGAAGUUCAGUUUGUUAUUUUCUUUGUUGCUUUUGAUGUUGACGUCAUAUGUAACAUACGGAGGUCCCAGAGACCAGCCACAAUGAUUUUGAACUCUUAUCUCAACAACAAGAAAGUGUACCCUGAAGUUAACAGCACCCCACCUUACAGUCUUUCCUGAUACCUCUGGGUUCGGUGCAAUAUGGGGGACUCCCUUCGUUGGUGGGGUUUCUCCUUCUCUGACCUUGUUGGGGUUCGGUGCAAUAUGGGGGACUCCCUUCGUUGGUGGGGUUUCUCCUUCUCUGACCUUGUCUGGGGAAUUCUCAGCCCACACAUGUGUCUCUGCCUGAAGUGGAAACUUCCAGGUUCUUUGGAAAGUCAGUUAUAUCAAACGAUGUUUUGCCAGGGCACACAGGUGAGAGGAUAUUUUGUUAUAGCACACACAUAAAGGACGUGCGGUGUUUCGCUCUGCCUCGCUCGCUGGUCUUCGUUGAUGAAU